CGCUGGCGGCGUGCCUAAUACAUGCAAGUCGAACGAGAUCCCCCGGAGCUUGCUCCGGGGGACAGUGGCGAACGGGUGAGUAACACGUGAGAAACCUGCCCUAGAGACCGGGACAACCGUUGGAAACGGCGGCUAAUACCGGAUGCCUUCACAUGGUCGCAUGGCCGAGUGAAGAAAUGCUCAGGUGCUCUAGGAGGGUCUCGCGGCCUAUCAGCUAGUUGGUGAGGUAACGGCUCACCAAGGCAUCGACGGGUAGCUGGUCUGAGAGGACGAUCAGCCACACUGGGACUGAGACACGGCCCAGACUCCUACGGGAGGCAGCAGUAGGGAAUCUUGCGCAAUGGGGGCAACCCUGACGCAGCAACGCCGCGUGUGGGAUGACGGCUUUCGGGUUGUAAACCACUUUCAGUGAUGACGAAAAUGACGGUAAUCACAGAAGAAGGUCCGGCCAACUACGUG
rnacentral:rRNA from 1 species